rnacentral:rRNA from 1 species
UACGUAGGGUGCGAGCGUUGUCCGGAAUUACUGGGCGUAAAGAGCUCGUAGGUGGUUUGUCGCGUUGUUCGUGAAAACUCACAGCUUAACUGUGGGCGUGCGGGCGAUACGGGCAGACUGGAGUACUGCAGGGGAGACUGGAAUUCCUGGUGUAGCGGUGGAAUGCGCAGAUAUCAGGAGGAACACCGGUGGCGAAGGCGGGUCUCUGGGGCAGUAACUGACGCUGAGGAGCGAAAGCGUGGGGGAGCGAACAGG